UCCUCGGUAGUAUAGUGGUCAGUAUCCCCGCCUGUCACGCGGGAGACCGUUCGUUUCCCCGCCGGGGAG
rnacentral:tRNA from 1 species